AGUGGGUGUUGCUGGUACUGGGGGGAUUAGAAGAGGUGGAAGAGGUGCUGGAGGGGUCGGUGGCGGCACCGGCGUGGUAAGGAGGGUCAUGUGUUUGAGGUGACGUGCGGUGGGCAGUGCUGUUAGAAAUGAGGCGGGAGGAAAAAAAAGUGAUUGUAGUGUUUUUCUUAGGUUGAGAUGGGUAUUCUGAUUAUUUUUAUGUCAACAUUUUGCUUUGUUUGCAUAGCUUUGUUCUUUGGAGUUAAUGGAUGGAGGAAGAUAUAGACUCGGCAAGGCAUGGUUUCUUUUUCUAUAUUUUAUUGUUAAGCUCUUGUCGGGAGGAGCUUUUGUGCAUAUAAAGUAGUCAAUUGUUGAAGCGAAAUGUUCAACAUCAUAGUACAGUACAGUGCAUAUGAAUACAUAGAGAUAUAAUUGACACC
rnacentral:sRNA from 1 species